rnacentral:rRNA from 1 species
GGGCAACGGUAGGUCAGUAUGCUCCGAAUGCUAUGGGCUACACGCGCAAUACAAAGGACAGGACAAUGGGCUGCUGCUCCGAAAGGAAUGAUAGCUAUCCCGAAACCUGUUCGUAGUUCGGAUUGAGGGCUGUAACUCGCCCUCAUGAAGCUGGAUUAGGUAGUAAUCGCGUCUCAAAAAGGCGCGGUGAAUAUGCCCCUGCUCCUUGCACACACCGCCCGUCAAA